rnacentral:rRNA from 1 species
GAGUUUGAUCAUGGCUCAGGACGAACGCUGGCGGCGUGCUUAACACAUGCAAGUCGAACGAUGAAGCCCAGCUUGCUGGGUGGAUUAGUGGCGAACGGGUGAGUAACACGUGAGUAACCUGCCCUUGACUUCGGGAUAACUCCGGGAAACCGGGGCUAAUACCGGAUAUGAGCUACCUUCGCAUGGGGGUGGUUGGAAAGUUUCUCGGUCAGGGAUGGGCUCGCGGCCUAUCAGCUUGUUGGUGGGGUGAUGGCCUACCAAGGCGACGACGGGUAGCCGGCCUGAGAGGGCGACCGGCCACACUGGGACUGAGACACGGCCCAGACUCCUACGGGAGGCAGCAGUGGGGAAUAUUGCACAAUGGGCGCAAGCCUGAUGCAGCGACGCCGCGUGAGGGAUGAAGGCCUUCGGGUUGUAAACCUCUUUCAGCAGGGAAGAAGCGCAAGUGACGGUACCUGCAGAAGAAGCGCCGGCUAACUACGUGCCAGCAGCCGCGGUAAUACGUAGGGCGCAAGCGUUGUCCGGAAUUAUUGGGCGUAAAGAGCUCGUAGGCGGUCUGUCGCGUCUGGUGUGAAAACUCGAGGCUCAACCUCGAGCUUGCAUCGGGUACGGGCAGACUAGAGUGCGGUAGGGGAGACUGGAAUUCCUGGUGUAGCGGUGGAAUGCGCAGAUAUCAGGAGGAACACCGAUGGCGAAGGCAGGUCUCUGGGCCGCAACUGACGCUGAGGAGCGAAAGCAUGGGGAGCGAACAGGAUUAGAUACCCUGGUAGUCCAUGCCGUAAACGUUGGGCACUAGGUGUGGGGCUCAUU